GAGGAGACUGUAACGUAUCCCUAAUUGAGCACCCAGGUGGUGUGACACUUCUGCCCUGUCCCUGCCCUCAGAGGAGAUUCUGACAUAUCACUGCCCCAAAAUGCAGCACCUGAGUAAUUUGACUCUCCUGCCUGGACCCAGCGUACAGAUGGGAUUGUGCUUCAUUGCUGGACCCAGCAUUUAGGCCCACUACCUAUGAGAUUGCAUGCUCCUGCCUGGGCUGUGCCCACAGUGACCUUGUGACAUAUAUCUGCAUCCAUGACCUAAAAGAUGUGACACUUCUUGCCUGCAACCUGCCCUGCACAGGAAAGAUUGCGACUUCUCCCUGGAAGCAGACACCAGGGAUCGUCACUCCCGUGGAUGAUCAAAGCUACUCCGGGGGCUGAGGCAGGAGAAUCGCUUGAACUCGGGAAGCAGAAGUUGCAGUGAGCCAAGGUCGCACCACUGCACUCCAGCCCAGGCGACAUUGUGAGACUCCAUCUCAAAAAAAAAAAAAAGAAAAAAAGUGUACUAACAAGACCCAGCACACAGAGGAGACUUUUACCAUUGUAUGAACACCCAUCAAACAGUACACAUCAUCAUUGUGAGUUCUGAAUCUCACACAUAGAGGAAGUCAAAGGUGGAAAACUUGACUCUCAUAUUUGGAUCCAGUCCACAGGUGUGAUUUUGACGCACACUUCUGCCCAGCACCUGAGUAAUGUGAUUCUUCAGAAUUGGCCCGGCCCACAAAUAGGAUUGUGCCACACUGCUGGACCCAGUGCCUAAGUGAUGUAACUCUAUUCUUCUGCCUUGGUGCUACUCGAAAAAGACAUUGUAACAUAUCUCAGAGCCUUACACCCAGGUAAUGUGAGUCUCCUCUUCUGCCUUGCUGCUGCACACAGAAGCGGAAUAUGUACAGGAUUGUUAAUCUCAUCUUGGAUCUUCCUGCACUUGUGAUUGUGACACAUGCCUCUGUGUAGAACCUGAGUGAGUUUACUCUCCUGCCUGGAUUUAACCCAUAGAUGGAAUCGUGACAUAUCACUGUACCAGAAACUAGGUGAUGUGACUCUAUUUUCUUGCCUCUGUGUUUUUAUAUGGGGCAUCGUGACAUAUCACUGGGCCUUGCACCCAAGUGAUGGGAGUUUUCUCUCCUGCUUUGGUGCCGUCCACAAUGAAAAUUGUGAAAUAUUGCUGCCCUCCCCACUAGGUUAUGUUACUCUCCUGCCUCUGCUUUGCCCACAUGGGUCACUGUGACAUAUUGCUGGGUCUAAAACCCAGGUAAUGUCACUCUCUUGUUUGGGUUCUGCCUGCAGGAGUCAUUGUCACAUAUCUCUAUGCUCAUCACCCAGGUAAUAUGAUUCCCUUUUACUGCUUAGUUCCUUCUCACAAAACAACUUGUGACAUAUUGCUAGGCCCAAUACACCUAGCUGGUGUAACUCUUCUUUUCUUUUCUUUCCUUUUUUUUUUUUUUUUUUUGAGAUGGAGUCUCACUCUGUUGCCCAGGCUGGAGUGCAGCGGCAUGAUUUCAGCUCACUACAGCCUCUGCCUCCUAGGUUGAAGCGAUUGUCCUGACUUGGCCUCCCAAGUAGCUGGGAUUAAAGGCAUGUGCCACCACGCCCGGCUAAUUUUUGUAUUUAUAGUAGAGACAGGGUUUCGCCAUGUUGGCUAGGCUGGUUUCGAACUUCUAACCUCAGGUGAUCCUCCUGCCUCGGCCUCCCAAAGUACUGGAAUUACAGGCAUGAGCCACUGCACCUGGCCUGAUUCUUCUCUUCUUUCUAGGUUUCAACUGCAGCAGAGAUUGUAACAAACCACUGGGCCCAGCCGCAUAAUGAUGUUACUCUUUUGCCUUGGGCCUGCCCUCAGAAGGCACUGUCACAUAUUCAUGGGCCCAACGCCAAGGUGAUAUGUGUCUCCAGCCUGGACCCUGCCCACAGGGGGCAUUGUGACAUAUCUCUUGGCCCAUCAGAUGUUUGAUUGUUAUCCCCUCCCCUCUUCUACCCUGUGUUUGCCUAUAAAAGACACAGUCAUAUGUUCCUGGGCCCAGCACCUAGGUGUUGUCUUACUGGAAUGUGUCCACAUGGGGAUUGUGAUAUGUCACGUGGCCCAGUACUUAACUUGAUGUGACUCUCCUCUCAUGCCUAGGCCUUGUAGAGAAUCCCCUUCCCCUUUUGUUUUCCUUUUUUUCUUUGCAGAUCCAGGAGAUAAUCAACUAAGAGCCAGGCACCCGUUUAGGUCUAAUAAACAUUUUACAAACUGCUCUCUCUUUUAAUUCACCUAUCUGAGAGAUUCCUCUGUACAAUAAAACUUGGUCUCCACAAUCCUUUACCUUAACCUAAACCUUCCCUUUCAUUGAUCCCAGGUCUUCAGAUUCCACCACUUGUCAACCACAAAAUAUUUAAAUUUACCUGGAAGCCGCCCGCUUUGAGUUGUCCCGCCUUUCUGAACCAAACCAAUAUAUUCCUGCAAAACCGGCCAUGAUUAAAACAUCAAAAAAUAAUACAUGUUGGCGUGGCUGUGGUGAAAAAAGAAUACUUUUUCACUGCUGGUGGGUAUGUAAACUAGUACAACCACUAUGAAAAACAGUAUGGAGAUUCAUUAAAUAAAAGUAAAGCUACCAUUUGAUUAAGCAAUUCUACUACUGUGUAUCUACAUGAAGAAAAAGAAAUUAUAUGUGUAAGACACUUGCACACACAUGUUUAUAGCAGCACAAUUUGCAAUUGCAAAAAUAUGGAAGCAGCCUAAUGCCCAUCAGCUAAUGAGUGGAAAAAGAAAAUGUGGCAUAUAUAUACCAAUGCAUACUACUCAGCCCUAACGAGGAAUAAAAUAAUAGCAUUUGCAGCAAUCUCGAUUUAGUUGGAGACCAUUAUUCUAAGUAACUCAGCAAUAAAAAA
rnacentral:lncRNA from 1 species